GACGAACGCUGGCGGCGUGCUUAACACAUGCAAGUCGAACGGAAAGGCCCUGCUUUUGUGGGGUGCUCGAGUGGCGAACGGGUGAGUAACACGUGAGUAACCUGCCCUUGACUUUGGGAUAACUUCAGGAAACUGGGGCUAAUACCGGAUAGGAGCUCCUGCUGCAUGGUGGGGGUUGGAAAGUUUCGGCGGUUGGGGAUGGACUCGCGGCUUAUCAGCUUGUUGGUGGGGUAGUGGCUUACCAAGGCUUUGACGGGUAGCCGGCCUGAGAGGGUGACCGGCCACAAUGGGACUGAGAUACGGCCCAGACGCCUACGGGAGGCAGCAGGGGAGAAUAUUGCACAAUGGGCGGAAGCCUGAGGCAGCAACGCCGCGUGCGGGAUGACGGCCUUCGGGUUGUAAACCGCUGUCGCAUGUGACGAAGCGUGAGUGACGGUAAUGGGUAAAGAAGCACCGGCUAACUACGUG
rnacentral:rRNA from 1 species